rnacentral:rRNA from 1 species
ACUCCUACGGGAGGCAGCAGUGGGGAAUAUUGCACAAUGGGCGAAAGCCUGAUGCAGCAACGCCGCGUGAGCGAUGAAGGCCUUCAGGUCGUAAAGCUCUGUCCUCAAGGAAGAUAAUGACGGUACUUGAGGAGGAAGCCCCGGCUAACUACGUGCCAGCAGCCGCGGUAAU